rnacentral:siRNA from 1 species
UAUCUGGAAGUUCAAGCCCGAAA